GAUGAACGCUGGCGGCGUGCCUAAUACAUGCAAGUCGAGCGAACAGACGAGGAGCUUGCUCCUCUGACGUUAGCGGCGGACGGGUGAGUAACACGUGGAUAACCUACCUAUAAGACUGGGAAUAACUUCGGGAAACCGGAGCUAAUACCGGAUAAUAUAUUGAACCGCAUGGUUCAAUAGUGAAAGACGGUUUUGCUGUCACUUAUAGAUGGAUCCGCGCCGCAUUAGCUAGUUGGUAAGGUAACGGCUUACCAAGGCAACGAUGCGUAGCCGACCUGAGAGGGUGAUCGGCCACACUGGAACUGAGACACGGUCCAGACUCCUACGGGAGGCAGCAGUAGGGAAUCUUCCGCAAUGGGCGAAAGCCUGACGGAGCAACGCCGCGUGAGUGAUGAAGGUCUUCGGAUCGUAAAACUCUGUUAUUAGGGAAGAACAAAUGUGUAAGUAACUAUGCACGUCUUGACGGUACCUAAUCAGAAAGCCACGGCUAACUACGUG
rnacentral:rRNA from 1 species